rnacentral:tRNA from 1 species
GCCCCCGCGGCCCAGUGGAUGGAGCAGGCGCCUUCUGAGCGCCUGGCCGCAGGUCCGAUUCCUGCCGGGGGCG